rnacentral:rRNA from 1 species
CCGGCGACCGGCGCACGGGUGAGUAACACGUAUGCAACCUGCCCUCUUCAGGGGGACAACCUUCCGAAAGGGAGGCUAAUCCCGCGUAUAUCGGUUUCGGGCAUCCGAGAUCGAGGAAAGAUUCAUCGGAAGAGGAUGGGCAUGCGGCGCAUUAGCUAGACGGCGGGGUAACGGCCCACCGUGGCGACGAUGCGUAGGGGUUCUGAGAGGAAGGUCCCCCACACUGGUACUGAGACACGGACCAGACUCCUACGGGAGGCAGCAG